rnacentral:rRNA from 1 species
UACGUAGGGCGCAAGCGUUGGUCCGGAAUUAUUGGGCGUAAAGAGCUCGUAGGCGGUCUGUCACGCUGCCGUGAAAACCCGAGGCUAACCUCGUGCUUGCGGUGGAUACGGGCAGACUAGAGGUAGGUAGGGGAGAACGGAAUUCCCCGGUGGUAGCGGUGAAAUGCGCAGAUAUCGGGAGGAACACCGGUGGCGAAGGCGGUCUCUGGGCCUUACCUGACGCUGAGGAGCGAAAGCAUGGGGAGCGAACAGG